UACGGGGGGGGCAAGCGUUGUUCGGAAUUACUGGGCGUAAAGGGUUCGUAGGUGGCCAACUAAGUCAGACGUGAAAUCCCUCAGCUUAACUGGGGAACUGCGUCUGAGACUGGAUGGCUUGAGUGCAGGAGAGGAACGCGGAAUUCCAGGUGUAGCGGUGAAAUGCGUAGAUAUCUGGAGGAACACCGGCGGCGAAGGCGGCGUUCUGGACUGCAACUGACACUGAGGAACGAAAGCCAGGGGAGCAAACGGG
rnacentral:rRNA from 1 species